UAGCUGCGGUAUCAAUGUGUGCGUAGCC
rnacentral:sRNA from 1 species